rnacentral:rRNA from 1 species
UCGUGCGCGAAAGGGGCUUCGGCCCUGAGUAGAGCGGCAAACGGGUGAGUAACACGUGGGUGACCUGCCUUCGAGUGGGGGAUAACGUCCCGAAAGGGACGCUAAUACCGCAUGACAUCCUGCCUUUGGACAGGCGGAGAUCAAAGCCGGGGAUCGCAAGACCUGGCGCUUGAAGAGGGGCCCGCGCCUGAUUAGCUAGUUGGUGAGGUAACGGCUCACCAAGGCAACGAUCAGUAGCCGGCCUGAGAGGGCGGACGGCCACACUGGGACUGAGACACGGCCCAGACUCCUACGGGAGGCAGCAGUGGGGAAUUGUUCGCAAUGGGCGCAAGCCUGACGACGCAACGCCGCGUGGAGGACGAAGAUCUUCGGGUCGUAAACUCCUGUCGAGCGGGAAGAACACCUGCCGGGCGAAUAUCCCGGAAGGUUGACGGUACCGCUAAAGGAAGCCCCGGCUAACUCUGUGCCAGCAGCCGCGGUAAUACAGAGGGUGCGAGCGUU